UACGUAGGGGGCAAGCGUUAUCCGGAAUUACUGGGUGUAAAGGGGGCGUAGACGGUAAUGUAAGUCUGGAGUGAAAGGCGGGGGCCCAACCCCCGGACUGCUCUGGAAACUAUGUUACUAGAGUGCAGGAGAGGUAAGCGGAAUUCCUAGUGUAGCGGUGAAAUGCGUAGAUAUUAGGAGGAACACCAGUGGCGAAGGCGGCCUACUGGACUGUAACUGACGUUGAGGCUCGAAAGCGUGGGGAGCAAACAGG
rnacentral:rRNA from 1 species